AUUGAACGCUGGCGGCGGGCUUAACACAUGCAAGUCGAGCGAGCGGCGGACGGGGGAGAGAUGUGUGGGAAACUGCAUGAUGGAGGGGGGUAACUACUGGAAACGGUAGCUAAUACCGCAUACCAUCAGAUGUGCCCAGAUGGGAUUAGCGCGGGGGUGGGGUAAAGGCGCACCUAGGCGACGAUCCCUAGCUGGUCUGAGAGGGUGACCAGCCACACUGGAACUGAGACACGGUCCAGACUCCUACGGGAGUCCGCAGUGGUGAAUAUUGCACAAUGGGCGCAAGCCUGAUGCAGCCAUGCCGCGUGUGUGAAGAAGGCCUUCGGAUUGUAAAGCACUUUAAGUUGGGAUGCGUUACCAGCAGAAUAAGCACCGGCUAACUUCGUGCCAGCAGCCGCGGUAAUAC
rnacentral:rRNA from 1 species